GUAACCAAUGGCAACGAGAAUUUUUGUUUUGUUUACAUUUGGUUUUCUCUUUUUAUUUGAUUUUCUUUUCUUUUUUCUCUCUGGUAAAUUGUUAUUUUCUUAUUCUACUAAUUAGUUAAUUGUGUUAAUUAAAGGAAAACAGGUUAACCAAAGAGAGAUACACAAUAAAAGAAAAGAUGACAAGAAAAUUGGAACCUGAUUGAUGACAAUUAACCCGAACGGUCUAAUGAAUAACAAAUUGGUUUAAUUGUGGAAAACAUUUUGAUAAUCAAAUCGGAAAAUCAAACAAUGGAUAAAACCAAGCAACCAUUUCGGACCUUUAAACCAUUACAAUAAUUUUGGAUUAAGGAUUAACCUUUGAUCUGGACAAUAAAUAUGAUUACAAUUGAUGAUUGAAACAAAAAUGUUUCUCACAAAUUAUCAUCACAAUCAAAUUAUUAUGAUGAUUUUUUGACAAACUAAUCAACACAAUUUGGCCAACUUUCCAUUAACUAUAUAAACUCAACUGACAUUUGGAAAAAUAUCAACUUGCUCACAAGUCUUCAAACAAACAACAACAACAAUCAACUUUAAACAGUUAAAAGUUUCCUGUGUUUUUUAACAAUCAACCAAAUCACUACCAACAAUUAAUAAAAUGUCUCCAAAAGUUAUUGUUAUUGCCAUCAUUGUCUGCCUUUGGUGCCUUAUGGAUUUAAGUUACGCCGGUGAUAAAGGUUCAAACAUCGUCCUUCAGGAUAAACAUUCACAGAUCAUUUUGAACUCGAACAAGAAAGGCGGUGAAAAUAUCAUCAUUAAGGAUAAUAAACACAAUUGCUGUGGACACAAGGAGCACGUUAAAUAUGUUUACGUGCCAGUCUACACUCACCACGAGCACCAAGGGUGGGGCCAAGAGCACCAAGGUUGGGGACACGAGCAACAACAUUGGGGUGGUUGGCAAUAAAUUACUCCCGGUGAGGAUUCAAUCAACACAUUAAUCAAUCCCGACAUCGAUCCAAUCAUUUAACGACAAUUAAUCAAUAGUUGUUUCAACUCGCCAAUCAAAUCAUCAUCAUUCAUCAUUUUCCCUCUCAAAGGCCUUUAAUUCAUUCAAAUUACAGCCACAAUUAACUUAAUCACCCAAUGGAUAGUUAUAAUUACUUUUCUUCCUCUCUCUCUCUCUCUCCCUCUUUCUUUACACAAUUAACUGCAUCUCAGUUGAUCUGAAUCAGUUAAUUGUGUUGCCAUUGUAUAAAAUUAAAACAGCAAUUAGCUUUUAAUUGCAUCUCCAUUGAUCAUGAUUAAAAUUAAAUAAUAAUAAUUUAUCUCAAAACUAA